rnacentral:lncRNA from 1 species
UGGGAGAUAUCAUCGAGAAUUCGAGUUCGAGAUAGGGUAUUAGGGUUUGCUUACUGCUUCAGCCUUCGGUGCUUAGGAGAUAUCAUCGAGAACGAGAAGAAGACGAGAAUCGACUGCGACUCUAGGAUAUCAGUUUGCGAGUCGAGUUACGACCAGUCGACAUUCGAGCUCGAGUCUCAUCUCAUCUUCACCGGUUAACUUCACUACUUUUGUAAGUUUUGUAAGUCUCAUCUCAUUCUCAUGAUCUCAUCCCAGUACUCGACUACUCUUUGAGUUUUUUUUUUGAGAUUUAGUUUCUGAUUUUCUGCAUCAAACUAUUUUAGGGUUAUAGGCGGCGAUUUCCAGCUCGAUUCGAUUCCUCACUCCUUACAAAUUCCGGGCAAACGAAGUGUCGAAGACGCUGCUGUCCUGUUCCAGUGUUCCGAG